rnacentral:rRNA from 1 species
UACAGAGGGUGCAAGCGUUGUUCGGAAUUAUUGGGCGUAAAGCGCGUGUAGGCGGCUUUGCAAGUCGGGUGUGAAAUCCCUCAGCUUAACUGAGGAAGUGCGCCCGAAACUGCCGAGCUUGAGUACCGGAGAGGGUGGCGGAAUUCCCCAAGUAGAGGUGAAAUUCGUAGAUAUGGGGAGGAACACCGGUGGCGAAGGCGGCCACCUGGACGGAUACUGACGCUGAGGAGCGAAAGCCAGGGGAGCAAACGGG